rnacentral:rRNA from 1 species
GAGACAGCAGUCGCCACGGGAAUACGUAGGUGGCAAGCGUUGUCCGGAAUUAUUGGGCGUAAGGGCUCGCAGGCGGUUUCUUAAGUCUGAUGUGAAAGCCCCCGGCUCAACCGGGGAGGGUCGUUGGAAACUGGGAAACUUGAGUGCAGAAGAGGAGAGUGGAAUUCCACGUGUAGCGGUGAAAUGCGUAGAGAUGUGGAGGAACACCAGUGGCGAAGGCGACUCUCUGGUCUGUAACUGACGCUGAGGAGCGAAAGCGUGGGGAGCGAACAGGAUUAGAGACCCCAGUAGUCCCUGUCUCUUAUACA